AAGACCCUUACUUCAUAGGAUCAUUUCUAUAGUAAGCUCUUCCCGAGAUCUUCACAAUACCAACACUAUCAGCUGUAAGU